GUCUAUAUCAUGUUGAAACACCCGUUCUCAUAUGAUUACCGAAGUUAAACAACAUCAAGCCUGGUCAGUACCUGGAUGUGUGAUCACUUUGGAAUACCGGGCGCUGUAAG